rnacentral:rRNA from 1 species
UACGUAGGGUGCGAGCGUUAAUCGGAAUUACUGGGCGUAAAGCGUGCGCAGGCGGUUUUGUAAGCCAGAUGUGAAAUCCCCGGGCUUAACCUGGGAAUAGCAUUUGGGACUGCAAGGCUCGAGUGCGGCAGAGGAGACUGGAAUUCCUGGUGUAGCAGUGAAAUGCGUAGAUAUCAGGAGGAACACCGGUGGCGAAGGCGGCUGCCUGGACAGAAACUGACGCUGAGGCGCGAAAGCUAGGGGAGCAAACAGG